AGCUGAACAGCUGCGGACAAACGCCGAAAGGCUUUGCCCGAGGAAAGUCCGGGCUCCACAGAGCAAGAAUAACGGCUAACGGCCGCCGGGGGCGACCCUAGGGAAAGUGCAACAGAAAGCAACCGCCCGAUCAUCCUUGUGAUUGUCGGGUAAGGGUGGAAAGGCGAGGUAAGAGCUCACCGUGGCUGCGGAGACGCAGCUGACGUGUAAACCCUGUUCGGAGCAACACCGUGGAAAGGAACAUAUACGUCUGCUCGGCGUGUUCCAAUGGAGGUGGCGUUGAGCAGUGUCGGCAACGCACUGCCAAGAUAGAUGGCUGUUCACGACAAAACCCGGCUUACAGGUUUACUCC
rnacentral:RNase_P_RNA from 1 species